ACCCAUUGGGCAUGAUGGCUACCAUCCCACCUCUGUAGCUGAGUGGCUGGAUUCCAUUGAACUGGGCGACUACACCAAAGCCUUUCUAAUUAAUGGCUACACUUCGAUGGACCUGUUGAAAAAAAUCUGGGAGGUUGAACUUAUUAAUGGAGGUUACAUCAGUCAGCACUUCAAAUAUUAACAACUUUAAUCAAAGCCGAAGGCUUCAACUAAAUGACUGGAUGUGAGUAUUCAAGUGUAGAGUGAACUUUAUAAAUUAUCUGUGGAUUUAAGCAUUGCAUUUAUACCUAUAUACAGUACAGCUGGCUCCCCACAAGCCUUCAGGACAGCUAGAUACCACCUCUGAGCUUUAGACUUUUCCAGGCAUAUAUCAGGUAAAGCUUCUGGACUCUACCAACUCCACCCCCUGCAUCCAGAUUUCAAGCUGUUCCAGGGAUUCUCUUGAAGCUUCCCUCAGCCAGCCCAAGUUUUGGGAAAAGCACCCUGACAUUUGUCCUCAUUUAGGAUGGACAGUCUCCCAAAUAAAUACACACUUAACAUUG
rnacentral:lncRNA from 1 species